UACGGAGGGAGCUAGCGUUGUUCGGAAUUACUGGGCGUAAAGCGCACGUAGGCGGCUUUGUAAGUUAGAGGUGAAAGCCCGGAGCUCAACUCCGGAAUUGCCUUUAAGACUGCAUCGCUUGAAUCCAGGAGAGGUGAGUGGAAUUCCGAGUAUAGAGGUGAAAUUCGUAGAUAUUCGGAAGAACACCAGUGGCGAAGGCGGCUCACUGGACUGGUAUUGACGCUGAGGUGCGAAAGCGUGGGGAGCAAACAGG
rnacentral:rRNA from 1 species